AGUAAAUUGGUUAAGUUAGAAAGGGCGCACGGUGGAUGCCUUGGCACUAGGAGCCGAAGAAGGACGGGACUAACACCGAUAUGCUUUGGGGAGCUGUACGUAAGCGUUGAUCCAGAGAUUUCCGAAUGGGGGAACCCACUAUCUUUAGUCGGAUAGUAUCCUUACGUGAAUACAUAGCGUGAGGAAGGCAGACCCAGGGAACUGAAACAUCUAAGUACCUGGAGGAAGAGAAAGAAAAAUCGAUUUCCUGAGUAGCGGCGAGCGAAACGGAAAGAGCCCAAACCAAGAAGCUUGCUUCUUGGGGUUGUAGGACACUCUA
rnacentral:rRNA from 1 species